rnacentral:rRNA from 1 species
UAGUCCAUGCCCUAAACGAUGCACACUAGUUGUUGCUAUGCUCGACAUAGCAGUAAUGCAGUUAACACAUUAAGUGUGCCGCCUGGGGAGUACGGUCGCAAGAUUAAAACUCAAAGGAAUAGACGGGGACCCGCACAAGCGGUGGAGCAUGUGGUUUAAUUCGACGAUACGCGAAGAACCUUACCUGGCCUUGACAUAGUAAGAACUUAGUAGAGAUACUUUGGUGCUAGUUUACUAGAACUUACAUACAGGUGCUGCACGGCUGUCGUCAGCUCGUGUCGUGAGAUGUUGGGUUAAGUCCCCGNAACGAGCGCAACCCCACGUCGUUAGUUGAUAACAGUUCGGCUGAUAACUCUAUCGAGACUGCCUGGGUAACCAGGAGGAAGGUGUGGACGACGUCAAGUCAUCAUGGCCCUUACGGCCAGGGCUACACACGUGCUACAAUGGGAUAUACAAAGAGCCGCAAUACCGCGAGGUGGAGCAAAUCUCUUAAAAUACCUCCCG